GGAAUUCUUUCACGUGGUCACUGGGCAGCUGCUACCAGCUGGGUCACGUUCUAGGUGCUGGGAUGGGGUCAACCAAGGCCCUCCAGGACUCUGUUCCCAAGGCAGCUAUGGUGUGUGGCAAGGAGGAGAGAAUCUGCUAAAUGAACAAAGAGUCAAGGUUCAUUUCUACACCAAUCUCACCCUGGAGAAGGUGCCGGUGUGCCGGCGUGGUAAGGAGCAGCCGAGCUCGGUGCCAGUUGGGAUGACGGG
rnacentral:lncRNA from 1 species